CCCUCUGCCCCAACCGCACCAAGCCAGCAAAGACGCGAGGCAGAAUCACCGUAGUACAAGUUCCUUGUGCGCGGAGCUGCCCCUGCUCGUCCAGGAGGCUGUGGAGAUGAAGUGGCCCUUUGUGCCGGAGAAGGGGCCGUACAAGCAUCCUGGUCAGAGAGGGCCGGUCUUCAUCAGACCCCAAUCGGUUCAAGAGUCAGCUCCACGAUAUCCACCUAUGCCGCUCCAGGGGGUGCUAAAGGGCCUCAAAAGAUGACAAUCUUUUUCAGUAAAAAAUAGUAUCCAGACCGAGUUUGAAACGGUUAUUACUAGAGGUCCAAUAUUUGAUAGCAGGUUUAAGUAAGGCUAUAUGUAUGAUAUACCAUACAUAAUAUCACUUGACCCUUUUUGUAUUGGUCAAUUUCGAUUAUUUCCAAUUGAAUCAAAUUAAUUUAACAUUAAAUAGUAUGUCAACCGCAUUAUUAAAUAAUAGACUCAUAAUAGACAUAAUAGACUCAUGCCAAUAUAUUUUGUCACUUAUAUAUUUAUAACAAAAUAAUAAAUAGAAAACCAGCUGCUUUGAGGCUUCCCUUUGCCGAGUUCAAUGGGGGAGAUCCCUUUACUUGGUUUCUAUAACCAGGCCCAUCAUUAAUGCUGAACGAAAGGCUUCAUUCUUCAUACACAACACUGGGUCCAGUUCUACCUGCAGGAGAAACACUGCCAUGUUGACUGUUA
ensembl:lncRNA